rnacentral:rRNA from 1 species
GAUGAACGCUAGCGAUAGGCCUAACACACGCAAGUCGAGGGGCAGCAUAGAGUAGCAAUACUUUGAUGGCGACCGGCGCACGGGUGAGUAACACGUAUGCAACCUACCUACAUCAGGGGAAUAACCCGGAGAAAUUCGGACUAAUACCGCAUAAUACAGGGAUGCCGCAUGGCAAUAUUUGUUAAAGAUUUAUCGGAUGUAGAUGGGCAUGCGUUCCAUUAGCUUGUUGGUGAGGUAACGGCUCACCAAGGCAACGAUGGAUAGGGGAACUGAGAGGUUUGUCCCCCGCACUGGAACUGAGACACGGACCAGACUCCUACGGGAGGCAGCGGUGAGGAAUAUUGGUCAAUGGACGAGAGUCUGAACCAGCCAAAUCGCGUGAAGGAAGACUGCCCUACGGGUUGUAAACUUCUUUUGUACAGGAAUAAAAGACAUUACGUGUAAUGUAUUGCAUGUACUGUACGAAUAAGCAUCGGCUAACUCCGUGCCAGCCGCCGCCGUAA